rnacentral:piRNA from 1 species
UUUGUUAGUUGACAUAUUUCU